UCAUGAUUUUAUGAAAUGUCAGUGUAUUAUUUUUACCAUGUAUAAUAGUUACCCAUUAAUAGAUAAGUUUGUAUAUAAAUUAUAUUAGCUACAUAUACUGUUUAAUGGAUAAGUUUUAGUAUUAAAUUAUAUAAUUAUAUCACCACUAUGGAUAAAUUGUAAAUGUUUUCCACCUAGUGACUAAACUAGUACGUGGCUAAUUUAGGAUCUCUUAUUUUGUUAGUUGUCUUUACUAGCUAUGUAUAUUGGUGUCACAAUUAAACACCACCGCCUAUGAACAUUUUAAGUUGUAGCAAAACAUUUGUUCUUCUUUGUAUUUUAAACGAUGUGGAGCAGCUGUAUAUUUUUGAGAGUUUCCUUUACGAAAUUUCCUCAAUUCUUUGAAAGAUAAUCAGAUAGUACUUCAUAAUGAAGUAAUGUGACGGGAAGCUUUAAGAAGGCGACCCAAGUUCUAUUCGCUGUCUACGACCUUCUACAAGCUCAUACGAGCAUCCAAGGUAUGUAUUUGUUAAAGAACUCGAAGGACGGUGAUCGGAAGCCGUAAGUUCCAGUUAUAGAAUUGUAUAUGAGUAGAUUAUGGAUUGUUUUCGUAUGGUAUGGAGAUUGGUGGGAGUUUGGUGGCUUGUGUAGAGCUUGUUUGUCGUUAAAAGGAGGUCGGGUGUGGAGUACACCAUUAUAUAUAGAUCGGGAGCUCGUCACUCUUUGAUUACUUGAUGAUAGUGUUAGAAAAUAGAUUUGGUAUUUUGUGGAUAUUUUGUUGCAUUGUUAUUGUUAUGCGUCAUGAAAUUGAAAGAAGAAAGUGUAUAAAGCACCGUACAUGAAGUGUAUAUUGGGGCUGUCUUGGGGUAUAUUCUUGUAUAUCGACGAUUUGAGUUUAGAAAUGCUUCAAAGAGGCUAUUGUGGUUGUGUUGGCUGGUUGUUGGGUUGUAGUCUUUAAAGAAGCAGGGGAGAUGUUGUUCGUUUUCCCGGUGUUGAAUGACAAUAGUACUAUUUUCCUUACUAUAGACGAAGGAGCAACAGACCUGAGGUAGCUUGGAUAUCGAGAAGCGGGUUAUCAGGUGUAUACAGAUAAGUAGAAGACACUUGCUAUAGGAUGUUCCCAGGCUAUCAGCUGGAUUGGUGAGCUCUAUUUCUGUUCGAAGUGUUACCGAGUUAGAGUACUUAUGUAUAUCCUUGAGUCAGAUUCAUUAUGGGUAUGUUGGGGCCCUGUCCCAACUUAUGUUAUGGUAUUUUGUUACAUAUUUGAGAGACUUUUGCAUACAGUAUCCUAUGGAUAGUGCGUCGAGAUGUCGACAAUUGUGUAAAGCGGCCAUGUAGGUCGAUAUGUUCAUAUGCAUUGAUUUAAAGAUUUUAUUUUGACUAAAGGUUUUCUUUGACUUAACGAUAAGAGAGAAGUCCCUGACAUGAUGAAAAAGUUUUAUUAAAAAGUUUUCAUGUUUUACUUGACGGAAGCAUCAUUUCAUACUUUAAAGGUUCACAAAAAGUUGUGACUUAUGAAUAGAAUGGUAGUAUAGCACUCAGCCGAGUAGGGUCUUGGGUGUUAGUUGCGGUCCUCUGGUUUGGGUCGUGACACAUUUCUGAAGAAUUGGUGGAUUUCAGUCCAGAAUAGAUGUAUGGCAAGUGUACCUAGCGUUCUUGGAGUUAAUAAGGUGAUUUGACAAAAUUUUGUUGAUGGCGGCUAUAUGGGAAAUUUUAAUGGUCUACGCAGAUACUUGAUGAUGUUUUGAGAUGGUACAAAUGGAUAUGGGACGUGUUUAGGGUGAUCAGUUGACUUUUUACAGACUUAGCACGGCAAGAUAAUCACUAGGAUGAUGCGCAUAGUACGUUAUUUGAAGGAUUAAGAGGAAUUGGAUGAUGAUGGCUGACUCAAUAGUUUCAGAUCGUCGAAACGAAACUAGGGGAUUUGAAAUUUUCACAAUCUGCCUUGGAUGAUGUUAGUUUUUUAUGGGAAUGCUUAGAGUUGGCUGUUACACCUUGGAAAAUUUCGCGUUGUUUGCAUUAUGAGUAAACUAACCCAAACCUAAAGUGGACAUGAAGCCCUUACAAGGUUAAGGAGGGUAUUAAAUAAUUCUAAGUAUGUACUUUAAGGUUUUGGAGUCAAAUGAAUCGGCGAAAGUAAGUUCGUUGAAGGAUAGGAAUUUGAGUCAUGUUUUGGGAAGAUUUCAUAACAUUUAUGUUAUAUAUUGCCUAACCUUACCUUGAUAGGGAGUUAUAGGGCUCCUACGAUGGUUAAUGAAGUUUUAUACAAGUGCCAAGAAGGUUCCAUAAGAAUUGGAG